rnacentral:rRNA from 1 species
AGUGAACGCUGGCGGUAGGCCUAACACAUGCCAGUCGAACGGCAGCACAUUAAGAGCUUGCUCUUACGGGUGGCGAGUGGCGGACGGGUGAGGAAUACAUCGGAAUCUACUUUUUCGUGGGGGAUAACGUAGGGAAACUUACGCUAAUACCGCAUACGACCUACGGGUGAAAGCAGGGGAUCUUCGGACCUUGCGCGAUUGAAUGAGCCGAUGUCGGCUUAGCUAGUUGGCGGGGUAAAGGCCCACCAAGGCGACGAUCCGUAGCUGGUCUGAGAGGAUGAUCAGCCACACUGGAACUGAGACACGGUCCAGACUCCUACGGGAGGCAGCAGUGGGGAAUAUUGGACAAUGGGCGCAAGCCUGAUCCAGCCAUACCGCGUGGGUGAAGAAGGCCUUCGGGUUGUAAAGCCCUUUUGUUGGGAAAGAAAAGCAGCAGGUUAAUACCCCGCUGUUCUGACGGUACCCAAAGAAUAAGCACCGGCUAACUUCGUG